UCAAGCAAUAUCAAUACACAAAUAGCAAGAUGAAGAGCAAGGCAUCAAAUAAAGAUAGCCACAUCCAAGCUUAACAACUUCAUGAUAUUUCUUCAAAAUUUCCCAUGCAUCAGAUGACUUCAAAGAUGGCACUAGACACAAGUUCAAAAUAACAGCUUCACUAUGAUCAUGUAGCAGAUGAACUCAGAUGGAUCUUCAAUAUUGUAUCAGAUGUUCACUUCACAAGCACUUGGUUUCAUGAAAGUUGGCAUUGGCCAAGUCCUUUGCAUAGGGAGUGUUGCCUAAAU
rnacentral:lncRNA from 1 species